rnacentral:siRNA from 1 species
UAAUGCAGCACUGAAUACUCCUGC